CCCUUAGAUGUUCUGGGCCGCACGCGUGCUACACUGAGUAAUUCAAUGGGUAAGGGAACGCUAGAGCAUUACCUAAUCUUGAAAUUUGCUCGUGAUGGGGAUCGACGGUUGCAAUUUUCCGUCGUGAACGAGGAAUACCUUGUAGGCGCAUGUCAUCAUCAUGUGCCGAAUACGUCCCUGCCCUUUGUACACACCGCCCGUCGCUCCUACCGAUUGAGUGAUCCGGUGAGGCUCUGGGACCUGGACGGAAAGAGCGUUUCGCUUGUUCUGUUUGGGAAACUUGGUCGAACCUUAUCAUUUAGAGGAAGGAGAAGUCGUAACA
rnacentral:rRNA from 1 species